rnacentral:rRNA from 1 species
GAUGAACGCUAGCGGCAGGCUUAACACAUGCAAGUCGAGGGGUAGAGGUUGCUUGCAACCUUGAGACCGGCGCACGGGUGCGUAACGCGUAUGCAACCUACCUUUUACAGAGGGAUAGCCCAGAGAAAUUUGGAUUAAUACCUCAUAGUAUAUAACCUUCGCAUGUUGGUUAUAUUAAAGUUCCAACGGUAAAAGAUGGGCAUGCGUCCUAUUAGCUAGAUGGUAAGGUAACGGCUUACCAUGGCUACGAUAGGUAGGGGUCCUGAGCGGGAGAUCCCCCACACUGGUAGUGAGAAACGGACCAGACUCCUACCGGAGGCAGCAGUGAGGAAUAUGGGACAAUUGGCGCGAGCCUGCUCCAGCCAUGCCGCGUGCAGGAAGACGGUCCUAUGGAUUGUAAACUGCUUUUGUACGGGAAGAAACACUCCGACGUGUAGGAGCUUGACGGUACCGUAAGAAUAAGGAUCGGCUAACUCCGUGCCAGCCGCCGCCGUAACAC